AUGGCGCGCGGCAAGGUCGCCAUGAGGCUAGUCGGGAACGCGGGGGAGCGCGCCAGGAAGCACGCCAAGAGGGCCGCGGGGCUCAAGAAGAAGGCGUCGGAGCUCGCCACGCUCUGCGGGGUCCCGGUCGGGCUCGUCUGCGCCGGCACCGGCGCCGGGGCUACGCCGCUCGUGUGGGAGUCGGAGGAGGGCGUGCUCGAGAGGUAUCGACGCGCCGUCCCGCCGGAGGCCCGCGCGGGGCACACGCACCGGGCCUACCUCGAGACGGAGCUGGGCAAGCGGAGGGCCAAGCUCGCCAGGGCGCGCCACGGCUGCCCCGCCGCGCUCCCGGACUGGGACGAGGCGCUCAACGACAUGACGCUGGACGACGCGCGGGAGCUGCUCCAGGCCAUCGACGCCGCGCUGCGGGCCACGGGAGACAGGAUGGAGGCGCUGGGCUUGCCUGCCGACGGCGGCCACGGCGCGCUCGAUCAGCAGGCCGCGCCGGACUCUCCCGACGACGCCGUCAUGCCGCAGCAGCUCGGGCACGGUGGCGGCGUGCCCUGGGCCGGAGGCUACCACCCCGUGGACAUGGCCGACGCCGCCGACUUCCAGCAGCUGCAGAUGGUGCCGUACGACGGCGGGGACAACGACGGGGUGAUCGCGCCGGGCCUCGCCAAUGCUGACUACAACUACUCGGGCUGCGGCGACCAGAUGCUCGCUCCGGACUUCGCCGAUGCUGGCUACAAGUACAACUACACGGGCGGCGGCGACGGGAUGCUCACGCUGGGCUCCGCCAAUGCUGGCUGCAACUACUCGGGCGGCGGCAACGGGAUGCUCGCGCCAGGCUUCGCCAAUGCUGUCUGCAACUACUCAGGCGGCGGCGACGGGAUGCUCGCGCUGGGCCUCGCCAAUGCUGGCUACCACUACUCGGGCGGCGGCGACCAGACGCUCGCGCCGGGCUUCGGCAACGCUGACUACAAGUGGCCUGAUCUUACCAUGUGGCACACCGACAAGGUGUGCGACGCAGCCAUGCCACCUGGGUACUACCCUGACGAGGUCGCCACCGGCGGCGACUACGUGAACGCACUAUCAUCUGGUUACAGCUACACCAUGGGCAUGGGCAUGGGUAUGAGCGUGGGCGACAACUUCACCAGUCUGGAGAGCAACUACACGGCGGCGCAUUGGCAGGCCGAGGCGUUCCAGCGCUCCGACGCCAGCACCAGCACCGGCGAGCUGCUGUCAGCUGCAUCAUCGCCUCGUUAUCUCUACUAG
rnacentral:rRNA from 1 species